CACGCCUUUUAAAGGAGUCGACGGUUCCGCGCCAGCUCUUGGCCUCUGGCCGCCCUUGGACGCCUAAGGCAUAUCAGGGAAGUUCCAGAGGAACAAACCCACUCCCGUCCUAUUGAGCCUAAGUUCCUGAAAGAUCAUCUAGUCCAACUAGACUUCACCAGGCACAUGAAUCACCCAAGAAGCUUGUUAAACUGCAAAGCCUGAUUCAGAAGAGCUGGCUGUGUCUCGAGGUUCCGCAUGUCUCAUGGACUCCCAGGUGGGAAGUCCUCCAAUGUACACAAGCCUAAGGGCCCACAAAAGGUGGAUCUGCUGUGGCCUGAGGAGCGGCACUGACUCACACCCUGGAGACCACACCAGAACUCCUGUCCCUCCUGCCCUCCCGUGGGAAUUUCUAGGAAGACAAGCACGUCAUCUGCAAAUAGCCAUGUGGUCAAUUCCUUGCCAAUAUUUAUCCUUCUGUACCAGUCAGAAGUUCUGUUUGCAAACAACAGAAACCGGCUCUACUUAAACUAACAUGGGAAGGUUAUUGGGAGAGUCAAACUCGGAGCAGCCAAAAUAACCAAUAAAGUCCUAUUACAGUUC